rnacentral:rRNA from 1 species
AGCGAACGCUGGCGGCAGGCUUAACACAUGCAAGUCGAGCGGGCACUUCGGUGUCAGCGGCAGACGGGUGAGUAACACGUGGGAACGUACCCUUUGGUUCGGAAUAACGCUGGGAAACUAGCGCUAAUACCUGAUACGCCCUUUUGGGGAAAGGCUUGCUGCCGAAGGAUCGGCCCGCGUCUGAUUAGCUAGUUGGUGGGGUAAUGGCCUACCAAGGCGACGAUCAGUAGCUGGUCUGAGAGGAUGAUCAGCCACACUGGGACUGAGACACGGCCCAGACUCCUACGGAAGGCAGCAGUGGGGAAUAUUGGACAAUGGGCGCAAGCCUGAUCCAGCCAUGCCGCGUGAGUGAUGAAGGCCUUAGGGUUGUAAAGCUCUUUUGUCCGGGACGAUAAUGACGGUACCGGAAGAAUAAGCCCCGGCUAACUUCGUG